rnacentral:tRNA from 1 species
AUCAAGUUAGUUUAAUUAAAAUUCUGGGUUGUGGUCCUGGAGAUGAGAAGAUGUGUCUCACUUGAUA